rnacentral:rRNA from 1 species
UCCUGGCUCAGAUUGAACGCUGGCGGCAUGCCUUACACAUGCAAGUCGAACGGCAGCGGACCUUCGGGUGCCGGCGAGUGGCGAACGGGUGAGUAAUAUAUCGGAACGUACCUUUCAGUGGGGGAUAACGUAGCGAAAGUUACGCUAAUACCGCAUAUUCUGUGAGCAGGAAAGCAGGGGAUCGCAAGACCUUGCGCUGAUUGAGCGGCCGAUAUCAGAUUAGCUAGUUGGUGAGGUAAAGGCUCACCAAGGCGACGAUCUGUAGCGGGUCUGAGAGGAUGAUCCGCCACACUGGAACUGAGACACGGUCCAGACUCCUACGGGAGGCAGCAGUGGGGAAUUUUGGACAAUGGGCGCAAGCCUGAUCCAGCCAUGCCGCGUGAGUGAAGAAGGCCUUCGGGUUGUAAAGCUCUUUCGGCCGGGAAGAAAUCGCACGGGUUAAUACCCUGUGUGGAUGACGGUACCGGAAUAAGAAGCACCGGCUAACUACGUG